UAUAUCUAAGAGAGGGACAUUGCUAGGUCCUUUCAACUUUCCUUAGUAGGUUUUUUAUUAACUAUGAUCUUUGUAAGGAGCUUAGGAGAUGAGGAAAUGUUAACAAUGAAGAAUAGCAACUCAUAGUGGCGGAGGAUAGUAUGGGUGUAGGUGGGCCACGGCCCACCCCCCAAAUUAUUAUUUUUCUAUAGGGAAAUUAUAAAAAAAAUCCUUAGCCCAAUAUGUUUUGUCCACGUUCCCCACCCGGGUCUCGUUUUUGCUUCAGGUUGUUAAUUGUGUUAUGUGUAAUAUAGAAUCAAAUGGCU
rnacentral:lncRNA from 1 species